CACCUCUAGCAUUUCUAGUAUUAGAGGCACUGCCUGCCCAGUGACAUACGUUAAAUGGGCACGGUACCCUGAAGGUGCAAAGGUAGCAUAAUCACUUGUUCCCUAAAUAGGGACCUGUAUGAACAGCCACACGAGGGUUUUACUGUCUUUUACUUCCCAUCCAUGAAACUGACCUUCCGUGAAGAGGUGGGAAUAUGGCAAUAAGAAGAGAAGACCCUGUGGAGCUUUAAUUAAGAGACUAUACCAACACAACCAACAGGGAAAACAAAUCUCCACAGGGGCCAACAAUUUAGGUUGGGGUGACUUCGGAGAAUAAAAUAAGCUCCAAGUGAUUUAGAUCUAGACUUCCUAGUCAAAAGUACGACAUCACAUAUUGAUCCAAAAACUUGAUCAACGGAACAAGUUACCCUAGGGAUAACAACGCAAUCCUAUUUUAGAGUCCAUGUUGACAAUAGGGUUUACAACUUCCAUGUUUGAUCAGGAUAUCCUGAUGGUGCAGCAGCUAUCAAAGUUUCGUUUGUUCAACGAUUAAAGUCCU
rnacentral:rRNA from 1 species